rnacentral:rRNA from 1 species
AGUGGAUCCUGAGUACGACGGAGCACGUGAAAUUCCGUCGGAAUCUGGGAGGACCAUCUCCUAAGGCUAAAUACUCUCUAGUGACCGAUAGUGAACCAGUACCGUGAGGGAAAGGUGAAAAGCACCCCGGAAGGGGAGUGAAAUAGAACCUGAAACCGUGUGCUUACAAGUAGUCAGAGCCCGUUAAUGGGUGAUGGCGUGCCUUUUGUAGAAUGAACCGGCGAGUUACGAUUUGAUGCAAGGUUAAGCAGUAAAUGUGGAGCCGUAGCGAAAGCGAGUCUGAAUAGGGCGUUUAGUAUUUGGUCGUAGACCCGAAACCAGGUGAUCUACCCUUGGUCAGGUUGAAGUUCAGGUAACACUGAAUGGAGGACCGAACCGACUUACGUUGAAAAGUGAGCGGAUGAACUGAGGGUAGCGGAGAAAUUCCAAUCGAACCUGGAGAUAGCUGGUUCUCUCCGAAAUAGCUUUAGGGCUAGCCUCAAGUGAUGAUUAUUGGAGGUAGAGCACUGUUUGGACGAGGGGCCCCUCUCGGGUUACCGAAUUCAGACAAACUCCGAAUGCCAAUUAAUUUAACUUGGGAGUCAGAACAUGGGUGAUAAGGUCCGUGUUCGAAAGGGAAACAGCCCAGACCACCAGCUAAGGUCCCAAAAUAUAUGUUAAGUGGAAAAGGAUGUGGCGUUGCCCAGACAACUAGGAUGUUGGCUUAGAAGCAGCCAUCAUUUAAAGAGUGCGUAAUAGCUCACUAGUCGAGUGACACUGCGCCGAAAAUGUACCGGGGCUAAACAUAUUACCGAAGCUGUGGAUUGUCCUUUGGACAAUGGUAGGAGAGCGUUCUAAGGGCGUUGAAGCAUGAUCGUAAGGACAUGUGGAGCGCUUAGAAGUGAGAAUGCCGGUGUGAGUAGCGAAAGACGGGUGAGAAUCCCGUCCACCGAUUGACUAAGGUUUCCAGAGGAAGGCUCGUCCGCUCUGGGUUAGUCGGGUCCUAAGCUGAGGCCGACAGGCGUAGGCGAUGGAUAACAGGUUGAUAUUCCUGUACCACCUAUAAUCGUUUUAAUCGAUGGGGGGACGCAGUAGGAUAGGCGAAGCGUGCGAUUGGAUUGCACGUCUAAGCAGUAAGGCUGAGUAUUAGGCAAAUCCGGUACUCAUUAAGGCUGAGCUGUGAUGGGGAGAAGACAUUGUGUCUUCGAGUCGUUGAUUUCACACUGCCGAGAAAAGCCUCUAGAUAGAAAAUAGGUGCCCGUACCGCAAACCGACACAGGUAGUCAAGAUGAGAAUUCUAAGGUGAGCGAGCGAACUCUCGUUAAGGAACUCGGCAAAAUGACCCCGUAACUUCGGGAGAAGGGGUGCUCUUUAGGGUUAACGCCCAGAAGAGCCGCAGUGAAUAGGCCCAAGCGACUGUUUAUCAAAAACACAGGUCUCUGCUAAACCGUAAGGUGAUGUAUAGGGGCUGACGCCUGCCCGGUGCUGGAAGGUUAAGAGGAGUGGUUAGCUUCUGCGAAGCUACGAAUCGAAGCCCCAGUAAACGGCGGCCGUAACUAUAACGGUCCUAAGGUAGCGAAAUUCCUUGUCGGGUAAGUUCCGACCCGCACGAAAGGCGUAACGAUUUGGGCACUGUCUCAACGAGAGACUCGGUGAAAUCAUAGUACCUGUGAAGAUGCAGGUUACCCGCGACAGGACGGAAAGACCCCGUGGAGCUUUACUGUAGCCUGAUAUUGAAAUUCGGCACAGCUUGUACAGGAUAGGUAGGAGCCUUUGAAACGUGAGCGCUAGCUUACGUGGAGGCGCUGGUGGGAUACUACCCUAGCUGUGUUGGCUUUCUAACCCGCACCACUUAUCGUGGUGGGAGACAGUGUCAGGCGGGCAGUUUGACUGGGGCGGUCGCCUCCUAAAAGGUAACGGAGGCGCUCAAAGGUUCCCUCAGAAUGGUUGGAAAUCAUUCAUAGAGUGUAAAGGCAUAAGGGAGCUUGACUGCGAGACCUACAAGUCGAGCAGGGUCGAAAGACGGACUUAGUGAUCCGGUGGUUCCGCAUGGAAGGGCCAUCGCUCAACGGAUAAAAGCUACCCCGGGGAUAACAGGCUUAUCUCCCCCAAGAGUUCACAUCGACGGGGAGGUUUGGCACCUCGAUGUCGGCUCAUCGCAUCCUGGGGCUGUAGUCGGUCCCAAGGGUUGGGCUGUUCGCCCAUUAAAGCGGUACGCGAGCUGGGUUCAGAACGUCGUGAGACAGUUCGGUCCCUAUCCGUCGUGGGCGUAGGAAAUUUGAGAGGAGCUGUCCUUAGUACGAGAGGACCGGGAUGGACAUACCUCUGGUGUACCAGUUGUCGUGCCAACGGCAUAGCUGGGUAGCUAUGUGUGGACGGGAUAAGUGCUGAAAGCAUCUAAGCAUGAAGCCCCCCUCAAGAUGAGAUUUCCCAACUUCGGUUAUAAGAUCCCUCAAAGAUGAUGAGGUUAAUAGGUUCGAGGUGGAAGCAUGGUGACAUGUGGAGCUGACGAAUACUAA